UGGCUCAGAGCGAACGCUGGGCGGCAGGCUUAACACAUGCAAGUCGAGCGGGCGUAGCAAUACGUCAGCGGCAGACGGGUGAGUAACGCGUGGGAACGUACCUUUGGUUCGGAACAACACAGGGAAACUUGUGCUAAUACCGGAUAAGCCCUUACGGGAAAGAUUUAUCGCCGAAAGAUCGGCCCGCGUCUGAUUAGCUAGUUGGUAGGGUAAUGGCCUACCAAGGCGACGAUCAGUAGCUGGUCUGAGAGGAUGAUCAGCCACAUUGGGACUGAGACACGGCCCAAACUCCUACGGGAGGCAGCAGGUGGGGAAUAUUGGACAAUGGGGGCAACCCUGAUCCAGCCAUGCCGCGAGAGUGAUGAAGGCCCUAGGGUUGUAAAGCUCUUUGUGCGGGAAGAUAAUGACGGUACCGCAAGAAUAAGCCCGGCUAACUUCGUG
rnacentral:rRNA from 1 species